rnacentral:lncRNA from 1 species
GGUCUGGAUCCCUGAAUUUAUAUCAUUCAAGACUUCCAUAUGGUCAGUAGUUGAUACUCUAACCCCCCCCUCCUUACCACGGGUCAGACCUAAAGAAUGUGAACAUUUUUUCCGGGGAUGCUAAGCAAACCCUCCUUACAGAUACAUUUAAUGUAAUGAGAACAAGGGAACAUGUAAACUAACGACCAAUUUGUCGGUUUCUCCAUGUAUUCCUCAAAAGAAUGUCAAAGUAAAUGUAUUAGAAAUACAGUGUAUCCAGCCUGCUAGUCCUUGCCAGAGACCUUCGUACUUCUGCCUCAUUUUGUGUUUGACGACAGAAAGAAUGCGGUCCCUUUUACCAGCUAUCAAGACGUCGAGAUGUCAAGCUGAUCCCACCCUCUCACCAUUACCCUUCCCACGGUUUGCUCGUUGGCCUGUCUUACCAACUCAGCUAAAUCAAGCCCUUUGUCUGCUGUGGCACCUGAAGCUCAUGUGGAGGCUUUGCCAUCCCUGGGAGCUGAGCAGGAGCUGUUGGCGUAGGGGCGUGGAGGAGAAGAGAAGAGAGGAAUCAUUCAUCCCAGCCACAACUCAGGAUCCAACACCACCCGAACUGGGGGGAACAUCACCCUACCUGAUUGUUCUUGAAUGACCGGUGAAUGAGAGACCUUGGGGGCCUUGGAGGCCUGUACUUGCAGGCAGCUUGCUUCAAUGGCGCUGUGUUCACAUUUGCAGGGACUGCAUUCAGGAGGUCCUGCUCGGCCCUGUGAACCAUCUGAGGGGGACUGUGGGUGAAAACUGCAAAGAAAUGUUAUCUUGGCUCUUGGGUUCCUUUCCUUCCUAUUUUAGCACUGGGGGGAAAUCUGUUCAGGCUAUUAAAGUACGCCAAUUAGGCUCUUGCCUUUCUCUAUUGUUUGCAACUAUGACAUGAAUCGAGGAGUGGAUUGUCUCUUGGGAAAGCAGGGUCUCCCUUGUCAGUUUCCGUUGCAUGUAUGCCAACACCAUCCUGUCUUGAAAUGGUUCUUCUGCAGAGCACUGAAGAGUCCAGUUUGUGUGCUCCAACCCAGUGAAGUGGGGGUGGGGGGGUUGCAAGGAAGGACAGUUAGCUUUGCUUUCGCUUCAAACCAGAGUAUUUAGGAGCUCCAUGAUGUAUUUAAAUUUUGUUCAGAAGUCUUUAUUACAUUACUCUUUAGCUUGCUUAGAUCAUGUUAACAGAAAGAUCCAUUUUAACUCUGAAGUAACCCAGAGAAGCCAUUCUCUAUUCCCACGCUAGUCUGAUAUACUUUUAGUUAAUUGGCCCUUACCAAAUUUCUUUUCUAUAUAUAUAAAAUGUAUGUAUGUAUGUAUGUAUGUAUGUAUUUGUAUUUUACUAUGAUAGUUGAGAAAUUUAGUCUCUUUUUAGUGUUUGUUUGUUUGUUUGUUUGGUUGGUUGGUUGGUUGGCUUUUUUUUUUUUUAAUCUGUUUUUGUGGAAGACGUAAGAUGCCCUGGAUCUUCCAUUUUUGAUGGUGUGCUACGUCACUGUCAGUGUAGCUCAGCUGCACUGAAUUGAUGAGAACCAGCUGUAAACAUGAAACCAGCACUGUGUAAAUCGUUACAGAGUUCAUUCAAGUACUGCUCAAGUGUCAUCUUGGGGAAGUUCCAAAAUAAUCAGAAUCUUAUGUUUUCGAGUUUGAUGGUGGGAGGGUGCAUCAUUCAAUGGGCAUUUUGCGCUCUAAAGUCACUUGGUUUGGAGACUGUGUGUAGAAAAGCUUUGUUCAACUAAGAAGAUACUAGAUAUGCAGACGUUGCAAGAGCCUUGGAACAAUUAGAGGGGAGAGAUAUGUGUAUAUGUAUGUUUUAUUAAACACCCACCUGCACUACCAGUACUGCACUAAUGUGGAGUUCAAGAGACUGUUGCUGAUACUGCAGUCUGCACACCAUUCCUUAGAUUGUUACAAAGACAAUCUCAGAUCAGAGGUUUUUAAGUCAUUUGGUUUGAAACUAGAAUUGUCUUGAAGGAGUUGCUAAUGUACAUGAAGUCACUUGAGUUUCCUUUAUUCUCUUCCUGGUCAAGGUUAACAGUUUCUAAAUGAUUGCAAAUUCACUUAAGUAAUACAUUUACAAAGCCAUUUUACAUGCAUUAAAAGAGGGCUACAAUGUGUUUUACAAAUACUAGCACUUUUUUUUUCCUGUUAUGUACCUAGUGUUAGAGGGUCAGAAUAACCUUUCUGCUUGGCAUCUCUUAAACCCUACCUGCAAGCAUAGCAGGCUUACUGCAUUUACAGUACUUUAAUACUUGUAUAAACUAUGCAGAAAUUUUUAAUAAAGUGUAAUAUAUUUUAUAAGCUAAUAAGACUGAAUGGGUAAAGGUUUUUAGCAUGCUUAGUAUACUUGCAAAUACUGAAACAUUUUGGUAAUCUUUCUUACUAAAGAUGUGAAUGUUUAAUGUACCUUCUCUGUUUCUACCCUGUAGUCCAAUGGGAAUUCAGUAAUGACAUUUUGUCAUGUCAAACUGUGAACAUAAAUUUGUACUGUACAGUCCUCAUAUACUAUAUACAUUAUGCAAUAUAUGUAUUAUAUACUUGUUAAUAAAACCAUCUGAAUAUUA